rnacentral:rRNA from 1 species
AUUGAACGCUGGCGGCAGGCCUAACACAUGCAAGUCGAGCGGAGCUACGGACGGGUGAGUAAUGACUACGUAUCUGCCUGGUCGAGAGGGAUGACGUACGGAAACGGGCGCUAAUACAGCAUAGUAUCAGAUGACCCUAGGUGGGAUUAGCUCGUUGGUGGGGUAAAGGCCUACCAAGGCGACGAACCGUAACUGGUCUGAGAGGCGGAUCAGUCACACUGGAACUGAGACACGGUCCAGACUCCUACGGGAGGCAGCAGUGGGGAAUAUUGGACAAUGGGCGAAAGCCUGAACCAGCCAUGCCGCGUGUGUGAAGAAGGUCUUCGGAUUGUAAAGCACUGUAAGUUGGGAGGCGGUACCAACAGAAUAAGCACCGGCUAACUUCGUGCCAGCAGCCGCGGUAAUAC